AGAGUUUGAUCAUGGCUCAGGACGAACGCUGGCGGCGUGCUUAACACAUGCAAGUCGAGCGGUAAGGCCCUUCGGGGUACACGAGCGGCGAACGGGUGAGUAACACGUGGGUGAUCUGCCCUGCACUUCGGGAUAAGCCUGGGAAACUGGGUCUAAUACCGGAUAUGACCAAAGGCUGCAUGGCUUUUGGUGGAAAGGUUUACUGGUGCAGGAUGGGCCCGCGGCCUAUCAGCUUGUUGGUGGGGUAAUGGCCUACCAAGGCGACGACGGGUAGCCGACCUGAGAGGGUGACCGGCCACACUGGGACUGAGACACGGCCCAGACUCCUACGGGAGGCAGCAGUGGGGAAUAUUGCACAAUGGGCGAAAGCCUGAUGCAGCGACGCCGCGUGAGGGAUGAAGGCCUUCGGGUUGUAAACCUCUUUCAGCAGGGACGAAGCGAAAGUGACGGUACCUGCAGAAGAAGCACCGGCUAACUACGUGCCAGCAGCCGCGGUA
rnacentral:rRNA from 1 species